rnacentral:SRP_RNA from 16 species
CCGUCGGCCCCUCGCGACGCUAGGUCGAAAACCCCGCCAGGGCCGGAAGGCAGCAACGGUAUCGAUCGACGCGGGCGCCGAGGCCAGCCGG